rnacentral:lncRNA from 1 species
GCUGGUUUACAAAUGGAUUGGCCCUGGGAGCGUGGCUAAUGCCUGGAGCUCUCGCAAUGGACUUAUAACUCAUUUGGGGAGGGGGAACUGCCACACGACCCCAUACUAAUAACACCUACGUGCCACUUAAGGCCGCCACCACCACAAUACGGUAAGGCAGCCGCCGCAUGUGCUAGACAUGCGCCUGAGGGCGCCUCCAGGCGCGCGCCCCUACCUAUGUUCAUUCGCACGAGCGCAAGCAAGGUCUUGUCAUCAGCACUCCCUGAAUCCUGGGUAAACAUCCAACCAUGCAACGGGCGCCAAUCCGCGCCAAAUCACGUCCAGCCACGCAACAGUAUGUGUCCUGCUCGCUCGGCGCUCAACUCCUCUUAUGAGGUCACCUCGCGCCAAGCUGCAGGAGGCCACCGCCGCCCGCCGCGCGCUCUUCCUCAUGGCGGCACAGCACCAUGAGGAGGACAUCACGUACGGCCACUGUGGAGACGGGCGUCAAGCAUGGGCAUCACGCCCGACAGCCCUCAUCAUACUCAACGUCCUGCUCGCCCUUCUAAUGGAUUGGCUGCCGGCCAUUAGAAGGUCGAGCAGGACGUUCAGGAAGAUGGAGCUGUCGGGCGUGAGGCCCAUACAUGACGCCCGUCUCCAAACAGUAGUGGCGGUGAUGUCCUCCUUGUGGUGCUGUGCCGCCAUGAGGAAGAGCGCGCGGCGGGCGGCGGUGGCCUCCUGCAGCUUGGAGCGAGGUGAUGGCAGCGCGUGAGAUAGGUGGGCGUGCGCAGGGACAUCACGAUCUGUGAGCGGACGGGGAG